rnacentral:sRNA from 1 species
AAAAACGUGAAAACCACAUUUGACUUUGACAAUCCAUGGAAAUAAAACAUGGUCAAAGGGUGUUGCCCGCAA